rnacentral:snoRNA from 1 species
CCCCUCCAGAUUUCAUAUCCCUCAGAUCUAAAUAGUGGUCUGAGGGGCAUUUUAAAAAAAGAGGGAUGGUAAAAUUGACAUGAACUUGGAGUCUUUAGUAACCAACAAGUUCAUCUCUAAAUAGG